rnacentral:rRNA from 1 species
AACGUAGGUGACAAGCGUUAUCCGGAUUUACUGGGCGUAAAGCGUGUGCAGGCGGGGGGAUAAGUGGUGUAUGAAAGUGCCCGGCUUAACCGGGCGAGGCUAUGCCAGACUGUCCUUCUGGAGCGCGAGAGAGGAGCGUGGAAUUCCGGGUGUAGUGGUGAAAUGCGUAGAGAUCCGGAGGAACCCCAGAGGCGAAGGCGGCGCUCUGGCUCGCGACUGACGCUCAGACACGACAGCAUGGGGAGCGAACGGG